AUUUAGAAUGCUAUUUCUGACUAAUGUUGACUACACAAUAUGACACAUAUCUUUUGGCUGCUUUGUUGUCUGAACGCUGUACUCAGAUUAUUGCAUGGUUUGCUUUUUCCGUAAAGUUUUUUUGAAAUCUGACACAGCGGUUGCAUUAAGGAGAAGUAUAUCUCUAAUUCCAUGUAUAACACUUGUAUUUAUCAACAUUUAUGAUUAGUAUUUCUGUGAAUUGAUGUGGCUCUCUGCACAAUCAUCGCAUGUUUUAGAACUACUGAACAUAACGGGCCAAUGUAAAAUUUGAUUUUUUUAAUAUAAAUAUGCAUUUUAUCGAACAAAACAUACAUGUAUUGUGUAACAUGAAGUCCUUUGAUGAAGAUCAUCAAAGGUUAGUGAUUCAUUUUAUCUCUAUUUGUGCUUUUUGUGACUCCUCUCUUUGGCUGGAAAAAUGGCUGUGUUUUUCUGUGAGUUGGUAGUGACCUAACAUAAUCGUUUGUGGUGCUUUCGCUGUAAAGCAUUUUUUGAAAUCACACACUGUGGCUGGAUUAACGAGAAUAUUAUCUUUAAAAUUGUGUAAAAUACUUGUAUGCUUGAGGAAUUUUAAUUAUGAGAUUUUUGUUGUUUUGAAUUUGGCGCCCUGCACUCUCACUGGCUGUUGGCGAGGUGGGACGCUACCGUCCCACAUAUCCCAGAAAGGUUAAUCAGGUCAACACCUGCAAGGCUGCGGACCCGAAGGUAUUCCAUGGAGCGUUCUCAGUGUAUGCGCAGAACAGCUGGCAGGCAUAUUCACUGUAAUUUUCAACGUCUCCUUGUCCCAGUCGGUAAUCCCCACGUUUUAAGAUAACCAACAUCAAUUCUGUUCCCAAGAACUCUAAGCAUUCAUGCCACAAUGACUAACGCCCUGUAGCACUUACAUCUGUAAUCAUGAAGUGCUUUGAGAGGCUGGUUAUAGCACACAACUCCAUCAUCGCAGAUACCCCUAGACCUACUCUAAUUUUCAUACUGCCCCAACAUAUCCAUAAACAACGCAAUCUCAAUUGCACUCUGUUAUAUAAAUAUUCAUACACAUAGCUCAUAUAAACAAAGACAUUCUGUAGUAAGAACACAUACACCCAGCCAUAAGACCUUAUAUAAACACACAUCUCAUCUCCCUCUAACUGGCCGGUCCCAAGAGCAAAGAACUUUUGCUGUGCACCAAUGGGGCCCGCUCUGGCUAGAGCAAGGCCCGCCUCCAACCCUCCGACCAGUCAAGAAGACCGAAACGACAAGACUCCACCUACUUUAUUCUAUGUAUAAAAAUGUAUGUAACCAUUGUAUAGGCCUCUUUUUCACCUGGCUCCUUGCCGAGUUAUGUGAACUAGGUCCAUGCACGUAAAACUGCGGGACAAGAUAUCUCUGACUCAUUAAAACUGUCUUUUGUUACAACUGAAAUCCACUCUGUCCAGCGUCCGUGAUUUGGUCUCAACUCUCCAGUAUUUGAACACUAACAACUCCAUACUGCCCUCACCCACCAAGAUAAAGAGGAAUACCUACAUGAGAAUGUUGUUUAUUGACAACAGCUCAGCUUUCAACACCAUUGUCCCCUCCAAGCUCAUCACCAAGCUUAGGACUCCAGGACUGAACACCUCCCUCUCUUAACUGGAUCCUGGACUUCCUGACGGACUGACCCCAGGUGGUGAGUUAUGCCUGGCCAUGCAGUCGUGAGUGAACAGGGAGUACAGGAGAGGACUGAGCACGCACUCUUGAGGGGCCCCCGUGUUGAGGAUCAGCGUGGCGGAUGUGUUGUUACCCACCCUUACCCCCUGGGGGCGGCCCGUCAGGAAGUCCAGGG
rnacentral:lncRNA from 13 species